AAUGUAAAAAUAUACAUUAAAUAAUAUAGAAGGGCACAAUUAAAAUUUUCCUAAUCCACUGAUAGUCCUUGGACAAGAUGCCUAUAUAAGAAUUCUUUCAACCUUGAGAUCCUAAGAUUCGGAGAUUCUCAGUUUCUGUGUAUAAUUAAUGCUAAGUCUAGGAUUAUAUAAUUCUGAGACUUUAGGCUUCUGUUUCACCAAGUCCAUGGCUCUAAAAGCUUGUGAUUCUAACAUCUUAUGAUUCAUUUAUCAACAUAUAUCUUGGCUGAACAACUCUUCUCUGCCAGGCACAGUGCUGGGUGCUAGGGAUUCAGUAGAGAAAAGAUGAUCCCGAUAUCUGCCCUCCUGUGGCUCAUGAGUGGAUGGGGACACAGGCAAACACACGGGCACACAUGAUGUAGUGAUCUCUGUCACAUGGUAAGCACAGCAGCUGGGGUGGGGACUGUGGUAAAUGAAGGAACACCAACCCAGAUAUUCAGGAGGGAUGUGAGCAGAAACUGUCCUCAGAGCAAACAGGAAGAGAGAGGACUUCAACCAGAGAAGGAGGUGGUGUUGUAGACUGUGUUCCAGGUAGCGGGAACAGCCAGUGCAAAGGUCCAGGGGUCAGGGGAGAGAGCCAGCAUCCAGCACAUCUGGUGAAGCAAAACAAGUUCUGUAUGGGUUGGUAUAGAGUUGGGGGUGGGGGGCGGUAGAAGGCAGAGUGGCCAGACUGUGGCCAGAUGACUGAGAACCUAGUAAACCAUGUCAAGGAGUUUGAACUUUAUCCUGAGGGCAAAGGGGAGCCAGGGAAGGGUUUUAAGGGGCAGCAGAGUGGCACAAUCUGCUUGGUAGUUUGGAAAGAUGCCUCUGGCUCCUGUGUACGGGUUUGGAAGGAGGAGAGACAAGAGACAAGUCUGGAACAAGAUCCCAGCCGGGCCUGGUAGUACAUGCCUGUGAUCCCUGCGACUCGGGAGGCUGAGGCAGGAGGAUCCCUUGAACCCAGGAGGUGGAAGUUGCCCUGAGCCGAGAUCGCGCCACUGCACUCCAGCCUGGUUGACAGAUUGAGACUCCUUCUCAAAAAAUAAAAU
rnacentral:lncRNA from 1 species